rnacentral:rRNA from 1 species
UACGUAGGGGGCAAGCGUUGUCCGGAUUUAUUGGGCGAAAGAGCGUGUAGGCGGCUUUACAGGUCCGUUGUGAAAACUCGAGGCUCAACCUCGAGACGCCGGUGGAAACCGUAAGGCUAGAGUCCGGAAGAGGAGAGUGGAAUUCCUGGUGUAGCGGUGAAAUGCGCAGAUAUCAGGAAGAACACCCGUGGCGAAGGCGGCUCUCUGGGACGGUACUGACGCUGAGACGCGAAAGCGUGGGGAGCGAACAGG